rnacentral:rRNA from 1 species
GACGAACGCUGGCGGCGUGCUUAACACAUGCAAGUCGAACGGAAAGGCCCUGCUUUUGUGGGGUGCUCGAGUGGCGAACGGGUGAGUAACACGUGAGUAACCUGCCCUUGACUUUGGUAUAACUUCAGGAAACUGGGGCUAAUACCGGAUAGGAGCUCCUGCUGCAUGGUGGGGGUUGGAAAGUUUCGGCGGUUGGGGAUGGACUCGCGGCUUAUCAGCUUGUUGGUGGGGUAGUUGCUUACCAAGGCUUUGACGGGUAGCCGGCCUGAGAGGGUGAACGGCAACAUUGGGACUGAGAUACGGCCCAGACUGCUACGGGAGGCAGCAGUGGGGAAUAGUGCACAAUGGGCGGAAGCCUGAUGCAGCAACGCCGCGUGCGGGAUGACGGCCUUCGGGUUGUAAACCGCUUUCGCCUGUGACGAAGCGUGAGUGACGGUAAUGGGUAAAGAAGCACCGGCUAACUACGUG